rnacentral:piRNA from 1 species
UGUGUGCUCACGGGGUUUAGACGAAGG